CCGAGUUUACAACUCCCAAACCCCUGUGAACAUACCACUUGUUGCCUCGGCGGAUCAGCCCGCUCCCGGUAACACGGGACGGCCCGCCAGAGGACCCCUAAACUCUGUUUCUAUAUGUAACUUCUGAGUAAAACCAUAAAUAAAUCA
rnacentral:misc_RNA from 1 species